GGGGUCUGGGCUGUCCACGGGAUCCAGCCCUGAGCAGGCUGUCUGUACCACCACCAGGUAUGGAUGCUGCAGGGAUGGUGUGACCAUAUCACAGGGCUCCAACAGGGAGGGCUGUCAGGAGUAUGGCUGUAUUAACACCAGGUAUGGGUGUUGCAGGAAUGGUGUGUCUGCAGCACAGGGACUCAACAAGGAGGGUUGUCUGGAAUAUGGCCCUCUUGCCCACCCCACGGUAAGUA